rnacentral:rRNA from 1 species
GAGGAACUCUAUCCGUCGGUUGAGGAGAAAGCCGCAAUGCUUCUGUAUCUUGUGGUGAAGAACCACUCGUUCAGUGAAUCCGUAGCGAAAGCGAGUCUGAAAGGGCGUAUAGUGGCACGUUCUAGACCCGAAGCGGGGUGAUCUACCCAUGGCCAGGUUGAAGCACGUGUAAGAGCGUGUGGAGGACCGAACCCACUUCAGUUGAAAAUGGAGGGGAUGAGCUGUGGGUAGGGGUGAAAGGCCAAUCAAACUCCGUGAUAGCUGGUUCUCCCCGAAAUGCAUUUAGGUGCAGCGUCGCGUGGUCCCUGGUGGAGGUAGAGCUACUGGAUGGCCGAUGGGCCCUGUGGGUUACUGACGUCAGCCAAACUCCGAAUGCCAUUAGGUGUAGCGCGGCAGUGAGACUGCGGGGGAUAAGCUUCGUAGUCGAGAGGGAAACAGCCCAGAUCAUCAGCUAAGGCCCCUAAGCGUACGCUAAGUGGGAAAGGAUGUGGAGUCGCGGUGACAACCAGGAGGUUGGCUUAGAAGCAGCCAUCCUUGAAAGAGUGCGUAAUAGCUCACUGGUCAAGUGAUUUCGCGCCGACAAUGUAGCGGGGCUCAAGCGUACCGCCGAAGCUGUGGCAACAACACGAUGUGGCUGGCGCCAGGAACUGGAGUGCUGGUGUGUUGUUGGGUAGGGGAGCGUCCUGCACGAGGUGAAGCCUGGAGGGAACUUCUGGUGGAUUGUGUGGGAGUGAGAAUGCAGGCAUGAGUAACGAAUCUGCGGUGAGAAUCCGCAGCGCCGAUUGACUAAGGGUUCCAGGGCUAGGUUUAUCCGCCCUGGGUUAGUCGGGUCCUAAGGCGAGGCCGACAGGCGUAGUCGAUGGACAACCAGUUGAUAUUCUGGUACCGCGUUGUGACCGCCCAUGCUGAAGUCAUUGUGCUAACCAAUUUGCCCGCCACACACUGGGCCUUCGGGUUUGGUGGUGUGUGUGGGUCUUGGGGUCCCGGUGAUGGUAGGCAAGCGUGUUAACAGGGGUGACGCAGACAGGUAGCUGCAGUGCGCCGAUGGUUGUGCGUAUUUAAGGUUGUGGCCCGUCUCCUAGGUAAAUCCGGGGGACAUGAUGGGUGAGAACUGAUGAGGGUGACACGGAUUGUGUUGUCUUGUGGUGAUCCUAUGCUGCCAAGAAAAGCCUCGACGUGAGGGCAUGACGCGCCCGUACCCUAAACCGACUCAGGUGGUCAGGUAGAGUAUACCGAGGCGUUCGAGUGAAUCAUGGUUAAGGAACUCGGCAAAAUUCCUCCGUAACUUCGGGAUAAGGAGGACCCCUUGACUUCCCCGCGCCAUGCGCGCUGGUGGGGUUGGGGGGUCGCAGAGAAUAGGGAGAAGCGACUGUUUAUCAAAAACACAGGUGCGUGCGAAGCCGUAAGGCGAUGUAUACGCACUGACGCCUGCCCGGUGCUGGAAGGUUAAGAGGAACCGUCAACACUCCUCGUGGGUGUGAAGCGGUGAAUUUAAGCCCCAGUAAACGGCGGUGGUAACUAUAACCAUCCUAAGGUAGCGAAAUUCCUUGUCGGGUAAGUUCCGACCUGCACGAAUGG